CUGAUUAUCCUUCCUCGGCGAGGUCGGAGUCGAAAACACAAGCCGCCGUCGGCACCCAGGGCCUUGUCGAUCCCAACCCAUGCAGUUCGGCUUCGAUGCCGCCGUGCGCACGACGCAGCGGUGGCUGCAGCAAGUUUUUACUCCUGCAGAUAGUGGAUCGGCGACGUCAUCGGCUGAUUCAAAUGCCACAACCUGCAAACAAGACGAUGUUUCUCAAGCUGCUCAAAAUACAAGACAGGAACCUAUGUUUGAGGAACUCCCAGAGGACAUCCGUUACCAUAUACAUUCCCUCUUGCCAGUGCAAGAUGCUGCCCGUGCUGCCUGUGUAUCUCAUGGUUUUCUGCGUUCCUGGAGAUGCUAUCCCAAUCUCACACUCAACGAGCGUACACUUGGGUUGGCUGGCAAGAAAAUUAAGGGCAGAGAAAUCGAUCUCAUCUGCAUAGUUGACCCCAUUCUGAAGAACCAUUCUGGGCUGAAGACACUUAUACUUGAUCUUUUACCUUUCAGAAAUAUCAGCGCCUCCUGCCUGGACAGGUGGCUCCAUGCCGCUGUUCAUUCUGGGGUCAAAGAACUUAGCUUGGCGCUGUCUUCACACAGCGAGGAAAGUUACAGCUUCCCAUGUUCGGUUUUGUCUGGUGAGGCGGCUGCAAGUUCAAUUCAGUCUCUUUAUCUCUUUGGUUGCGCUUUUCAUCCCACAGAAACAAUUGGCCACUUGAGAAGAUUGAAAAUAUUGCAUCUGUCUUGUGUCCACAUUACUGAGGAGGGAUUGGAGCACCUGCUCUCGAAAUCUUUUGCCCUGGAGGAGCUGGAAAUCUUCAAAUGCAGCAACAUAAUUUGCUUGACGAUACCUUGUACACUGCAGCAACUCAAGUUCCUCAAGGUUGCAUGGUGUCAAGUGUUGCAGGCGGUGGAGAUUAAUGCCCCAAAGCUCUCCUCGUUUUACUACAGUGGGACAGCCCUGCUUGGAAUCUCUGUUGGAGAUUCUUCACAACUUAAGGAUGUGCAUUUGGUCCAUCCGCCCUGCAUUCUCUAUUAUGCACGUGCUAGGCUUCCGUCCAUCGCACGGAAUGUUAAGAGCCUUACCCUGGCCUCUUGUGGCGAGAAUGUCAACACUCCGAUGCUUCUCUCCAAGCUCCCACGCCUCAAGAAGUUGGACAUUAGACUCCUUGGAUUAGAACCAGCCUUCUCUCCUCACUAUGAUGCCCUGUCUCUGAUUUCUUUUCUUCAAGCCUCUCCUGCCUUGGAUUCUUUUAUACUGCGUAUCAAUCAAGACGUCAUGUGUCACGAUUCUGUUGUUGGAGAUGACUACAUUUACCUGAGGAAGAAGCCAGAGUUCCGGCAUGAGCACCUCAGGCAAGUGAUGAUCACAGGUUUCCGUGCAUCCAAGAGCCUGGUUGAGCUCGUGAUCUACAUCCUUGAGAGUGCGCCUUCGCUCGAGCGCCUCAAACUAGACACAACAGAUAGCGAUGAUAGGAGUUCUUGUACCUCAAGAAAGCCAUGCAGAUGCUCGUGGAUGACAAAGAGUAAUGUUGCGGACGCUCAUGUAGCUAUGGAGGUUGCUGCCAGAUGCAUCGCGUCGAGAGUUCCCUCUGGUGUUGAAUUCAAGGUCCUAGGGCCCUGCAAGCUGUAGCGUGGCAGUUGCUGUGACAUAGUAAGCAGUUGGGUGAUGCACAAUAUAAGCAAAAAUGCUCCAAACUGGUCCUACACUCCUGCUCGACUCUUUAAAAGAUGUGCAACAGCAGGUUUUCCUUGGAAGCAAAUGUCUUCUGGCAACGGAACCGGCUGCCAGCCGGUGCGGUACUCCAGGAGCUCCUUGAGCGCCAAUGACGCCGGCUGGACGGAACAAGGCUGGUAGCAUUCCCGG